GUGUUUGCUUCAGCAGCACAUAUACUAAAAUUGGAACAAUACAGAGAUUAGCAUGGCCCCUGCGCAAGGAUACACACAAAAAAUGUAAUAGAAUACAAAUUCUU